rnacentral:lncRNA from 1 species
AUGUUAAUGACAGCUGAGGUAGCCGUCCUUGUCUCUCAGAUGUCACAGACCGGCUGGGUUUCCAGCAACAUCCCAGACCAUACACCACCCAACCAGGGUGAAAAGGAUGAAAAUAGCUCCAGGUGUCUGAAAUCCAUGAUAGGAUACAAAAAUAACAAGAUCGAGAGUACAACAGCUCUCUCCUCUGAGCUUUUAACAAUCUUAAAGUGAGUCACAUGUUGGCUUUUAAAUCUAGAUUGUAUCCUUAAACUAAAAGAGUUGUUUAGACAAUGGGGCUUUUGGCAGUCUCCUAGCAAAACCGGCCAAUUACGUGAACCCCAAAUGCCAAGCUUAUCUGGUUUGCAAAAGCCAUUCAGAGACUUAAGUGCACUGAUUUAGGUAAUUUUACAAGGGAAUCUUUUUUUUUUUUUUUGAGACAGAGUCUCGCUCUGUCGCCCAGGCUGGAGUGCAGUGGUGCGAUCUCAGCUCACUGCAAGCUCCGCCUCCUGGGUUUACACCAUUCUCCUGCCUCAGCCUCCCGAGUAGCUGGGACUACAGGUGCCCACCACCUCACCCAGCUAGUUUUUUUGUAUUUUUCAGUAGAGACGGGGUUUCACCAUGUUAGCCAGGAUGGUCUCGAUCUCCUGACCUUGUGAUCCGCUCGUCUCGGCCUCCCAAAGUGCUGGGAUUACAGGCUUGAGCCACCACGCCCGGCCUACAAGGGGAUCUUAAGAUGAAAUGUAAGCAUGAGAAUUUCUAUCCACUCUCGUCUGGUUCCCCAUCCUAAUAUAUCAAUCAGUCAAUGAACUGCUGACAUUUGCAUAAUACACUGGAUAGAUCAUGAGGACCAAGACUGUACCAUAAACAGCAAUUUUUAAAUUUCAGUACCUAAUUUUUACUUGCUCUCUUUUUCCCAAUUCAGUUUCUUCUAAAACAAACAAUGAAUUUAAUAAGCGUACUCUUAGGUGAAUUUUUUUAGUUCAUAAUGACUCAGAAAUCCAACUGCUUAGAUUUUCUGGGUCAGUGUUUUGCAAGCCUGUGAUGUAUAUAAGAAUCACCUGGGCACCCUUGUUAAACUGCAGAUUCUGGUUCAGUAAGUCCAGGAGGAGGUGGGAGGCAGGGAGCCCAGUGUAGGGUGCUGAGAUCCUACAUACCUAGUAACUCCCAGGUAAUGCAGAUGCUGCCAGUCCCCUAACACAUUCUGCAUGUCUAGCUCUUAGACCACACUGAAUAGACAGGAAGAGACAGGGAGGAGACAGUUCCCGGCAGUGGCUUUAGUGACAAACCAACUUGACUAGGAGUCCUUUGUAACGUGAUUUUAAGGGCUUAAUUUGGGAAGCAUCCCCAACUUACAAAAACGAACGCUGCCACCUAAAAUUUUAGUCAGAAAAAUUAUCCCUUCAUCUUCUCAAAUAAGAACACCUCAAGAAGAGAGGCAACAAUUGAUUCCAGGAUUUGGCCAGGACCAGAAUUGAGAGCACUCCGCAGUGUUUGGGAACAUUGU